rnacentral:lncRNA from 1 species
UUUUGAAAUGUCUUUAGUGCAGGUUGUAUUAAUAUGGGAUUUAAAGAAGAUGGGUGGAUAUUGAGGAGCAAACCUGAAGUAAUAAUUGCCUCAAUUUAUUUCUCAGGAACCAAAAUUAGAGACAAAUGUGUCCCCUGUCUCCUUUCUGGAAGCACAGCCUCCUCAAAGCAGCUAUGCUUAAUUCAGAUACAAAGCCCUUAUCCCUCCCGGGUCCACCUGCAGCCCCGCCGCUUUCAUCAUUUCUCCCUGGAAUUCAUUCGGAUCAUAGUCGUUUUCAAGGGACAGUCAAUUCUCAUGGAAGGCUUUCACCAACUCUUGCCGGUCUUGUAUAAGGAGCCAACUAGAACUGCAGCAGAUGAAUGAGAGUAGGUCGGGGAGGAAAGCGGGCUGAUAUUUCCGUUUGCACUGUGAGUAAUACAUAAGAUAAAAGCGCGGCGACUAAGACCGCCGGCCAGUGACCGGAGGGCCUCGUUUGUAAAGCUGGAGGGUCGUGCUCAGGUACGGGAGGGAUCUUUCUUCGUCUUCCUUGCGAUGCUCUGCACAGCAGCUAUGAUCACACCCAGUUUUUCUCACUCCUCUGAACCCUGGGCGUUCUCUCCAUCGUUCUUCUAAACAGACCACAAAAUGGCAAGCCGCCUGGAUCCGUGGCAUUUGUCAAUUUCCAUGGUGUGAAUAUUCACACCACAGCAGAUUUCAAAACACAAACCUGACUCCAUUCUUAUGACUGCCAGUAAGUAAGGACGGGGGGGAAGGGAUAGUCAGGGAGUUCGGUACGGACAUGUGCACACGGCUAUAUUUAAGAGGGAUUACCAACAAGGAUCUACCGUACAGCAUAGAGAACUCUGCUCACUUUUACGUGACAGUCCGGAUGGAAGGGGAAUUUAGGGCAGGAUGGAUACGUGUGUGUGUAUGCCUGAGUCCUUUGCUGCCCACCUGAAACUGUCACAACAUUGUUAGUUGGCUAGACUCCAAUACAAAAUAAAAAGUAAA